GACGAACGCUGGCGGCGUGCUUAACACAUGCAAGUCGAACGAUGAAGAAGAGAAACGCGAACUUCGGUUCAAAUUUCACUUCGGAUUAGUGGCAGACGGGUGAGUAACGCGUGAGCAACCUACCUCUUACAAAGGGAUAGCCUCGGGAAACCGUGAUUAAUACCAUAUGACACAUUCAUAAGGCAUCUUAAGAAUGUUAAAGCUACGGCGGUAAGAGAUGGGCUCGCGUCCCAUUAGCUAGUUGGUGAGGUAACGGCCCACCAAGGCGACGAUGGGUAACCGGCCUGAGAGGGUGAACGGUCACAUUGGAACUGAGACACGGUCCAAACUCCUACGGGAGGCAGCAGUGGGGAAUAUUGCACAAUGGAGGGAACUCUGAUGCAGCGACGCCGCGUGAGCGAUGAAGGAAUUCGUUUCGUAAAGCUCUGUUCUAUGGGAAGAAAAGGACUGUACCAUAGGAGAAAGCCCCGGCUAAAUACAUG
rnacentral:rRNA from 1 species